rnacentral:rRNA from 1 species
AUUGAACGCUGGCGGCGUGCUUAACACAUGCAAGUCGAACGAAGUGGCGAACGGGUGAGUAACGCGUAAUCAACCUGCUCUUCAGAGGGGGACAACAGUUGGAAACGACUGCUAAUACCGCAUACUGAAGGAGGGGAUUGCGUGUGAUUAGCUAGUUGGAGGGGUAACGGCCCACCAAGGCGAUGAUCAGUAGCCGGGCUUAGAGGAUGAACGGCCACAUUGGGACUGAGACACGGCCCAGACUCCUACGGAAGGCAGCAGUGGGGAAUCUUGCGCAAUGGGGGGAACCCUGACCGAGCAACGCCGCGUGAGUGAAGAAGGUUUUCGGAUCGUAAAGCUCUGUUGUUAAGGAAGCGGUACUUAACCAGAAAGGGACGGCUAACUACGUGCCAGCAGCCGCGGUAAUAC